rnacentral:misc_RNA from 1 species
AGUUUAUAGAUGCGUUACAUCAAUUACAUUCAAAUUAUUAAAUAUGAGUUUAUGUAUUGGCAGACGGAGAAAACACCCUAGCAAAAGGGCAAGCUCUCCGUCUAACAGGUUCACAGGUGUGUGUGGAUGAAAGAGAAGGUGUGCACAUGCCUUGAAAAAAAUAAAUUUAAAUCAAGGCCAGCGACAACCAACUCUACAUUCAUUCAAUAAUGAUCCUUCCGCAGGUUCACCUAUGGAAA